UGCUUGCCAAUGAUGGUGAACAAUAAAUGUCUGAACAUAUGAAAUCAGUGAUUCCUUUUCAAGUCUCUGAGGCAAGUU